rnacentral:rRNA from 2 species
AAAACGACUCUCGGCAACGGAUAUCUCGGCUCACGCAUCGAUGAAGAACGUAGCAAAAUGCGAUACUUGGUGUGAAUUGCAGAAUCCCGUGAACCAUCGAGUUUUUGAACGCAAGUUGCGCCCGAAGCCAUCCGGUUGAGGGCACGUCUGCCUGGGCGUCACGCA